rnacentral:rRNA from 1 species
UAGAUACCCUGGUAGUCCCAGCCGUAAACGAUGGGCGCUAGGUGCGGGGGGACACGACCCUCCGUGCCGCAGCCAACGCAUUAAGCGCCCCGCCUGGGGAGUACGGCCGCAAGGCUAAAACUCAAAGGAAUUGACGGGGGCCCGCACAAGCAGCGGAGCAUGUGGCUUAAUUCGAAGCAACGCGAAGAACCUUACCAGGGCUUGACAUGCGGGUGAAGCGGCGGAGACGCCGUGGCCGGAAGGAGCCCGC